rnacentral:tRNA from 1 species
GGCAGUGUAGCCUAGUGGUAAAGUGCUGGACCACCAUUCGGGAGGUCGUGGGUUCGAACCCCACCACCGGCA